rnacentral:lncRNA from 1 species
GUUUUGCUAAAUAAUUUGUCAUACAGCCUUCAUACUGUCCAAAGCAUGGCCAAAUAUAUAAUGACAGUUUUAUGAGAUAUGUUACCAUAAAUAGUUCUAUGACAGCAUAACAAACAGUAUCAGCUUGUCAAAAAACAGACCACUCUCAUUUUAAGUUUGUCUCCAUGGCAUUUUGCUUCAAUAACAACAGUGUUAUGACAAAAAUAUUUGUUCUACACAUCUUACACAAAUUCUGCUAUGACCUUUGGUUAAGUAUCAAUGUACAGUACCAGUCAAAAGUUUGGACACCUACUCAGGGUUUUUCUUUAUUUUAUCUUUGUAAUAGUGAAGACAUAACUAUGAAGUAACACAUAUGGAAUCAUGUAGUAACCAAAAAAGUGUUAAACAAAUCAAAAUAUAUGUUAUAUUUUAGAUUCUUCAAAGUAGCCACCCUUUGACUUGAUGAUAGCUUUGCACACACUCUUGGCAUUCUCUCAACCAGCUUAAUGUGGUAGUCACCUGAAAUGCAUUUAAAUUAACAGGUGUGCCUUGUUAAGUUAAUUUGUGGAAUUUCUUUCCUUAAUGUUUUUGAGCCAAUUUAGUUGUGUUGUGACAAGGUAGGGGUGGUAUACAGAAGAUAGCCCUAUUUGGUAAAAGACCAAGUCCAUAUUAUGGCAAGAACAGCUCAAAUAAGCGAAGAGAAACAACAGUCCAUCAUUACUUUAAGACAUGAAGGUCAGUCAAUCUGGAACAUUUCAAGAACUUUGAAAGUUUCUUUAAGUGCAGUCGCAAAAACCAUCAAGCACUAUAAUGAAACUGGCUCUCAUGAGGACCGCCACAGGAAAGGAAGACCCAGAGUUACCUCUGCUGCAGAGGAUAAGUUCAUUAGAGUUAACUGCACCUCAGAUUGCAGCCCAAAUAAAUGCUUCACAGGGUUCAAGUAACAGACACAUCUCAACAUCAACUAUUCAGAGGCGACUGCGUGAAUCAGGCCUUCAUGGUCAAAUUGUUGCAAAGAAACCACUACUAAAGGACAUCAAUAAGAAGAAAAGCUUGCUUGGGCCAAGAAACACGAGCAAUGGACAUUAGACUGGUGGAAAUCUGUCCUUUGGUCUGAUGAGUCCAAAUUUCAGAUUUUUGGUUCCAACCGCCUUGUCUUUGUGAGACGCAGAGUGGGUGAACGGAUGAUCUCUGCAUGUGUGGUUCCUACGUGAAGCAUGGAGGAGGAGGUGUGGGGGAGCUUUGCUGGUGACACUGAUUUAUUUAGAAUUCAAGGCACACUUAACCAGCAUGGCUACCACAGCAUUCUGCAGCGAUACGCCAUCCCACCUGGUUUGCACUUAGUGGGACUCUCAUUUAUUUUUCAGCAGGACAAUGACCCAACACACCUCCAGGCUGUGUAAGGGCUAUUUCACCAAGAAGGAGAGUGAUGGAGUGCUGCAUCAAAUGACCUGGCCUCCACAAUCACAUGACCUCAACCCAAUUGAGAUGGUUUGGGAUGAGUCAAACCGCAGAGUGAAGGAAAAGCAGCCAACAAGUGCUCAGCAUAUGUGGGAACUCCUUCAAGACUGUUGGAAAAGCAUUCCUCAUUCCUCCCGUGUGGCUCAGUUGGUAGAGCAUGGUGUUCACUACUGCAUGGUGUUCACUACAUGAUGUUCACUACUGUAAGUCGCUCUGGAUAAGAGCGUCUGCUAAAUGACUAAAAUGUAAAUGUAAAUGAAGCUGGUUGAGAGAAUGCCAAGAGUGUGCAAAGCGGUCAUCAAGGCAAAGGGUGGCUACUUUGAAGAAUCUGAAGUAUUUUCUUAUUUGUUUAACACGUUUUUUGGUUACUACAUGAUUCCAAAUGUGUUAUUUCAUAGUUUUGAUGUCUUCUCUAUUGUUCUACAAUGUAGAAAAUAGGAAAAAAAUAAAGGAAAAAAAUGAGUAGGUGUCCAAACAUUUGACUGGUACUGUAUGUGUUAAGCAUGAAGUCUCCCGCUGUGUCUGGUGUCCUAUUUCUGAGUCUACCAUUAAUGAGUGCUACUGAACUUUCUUAAAACAGUUGUAAUGCUUUGUGAAAAGGUUACUUUAAGUAGUUAUUACUUACUUAUUACUGUAAGUAAGUCAAACGUAUUACUGUGUUACCAAAACUUUUUCCCUCUAUGAGUUUACUUGCUUUCAUGGAGCUAAUGUCAGUGAUGACAAACAUGUCUCACCUAAUUAGCGGAAAGGUUACAUUCGUCACUUUUUUUGUUAUUUUUCUUUUUGUACAAUGUUGUGCCAUCUAUAGUGUUAUAUGGUAUUUUAGAUUAAUAUGAUUGUUACUCAAAGUUGUGCACUUGCUAAGUGUAUGGUGACCCCUGUUGUGAACUAUGGAUACCUCAGAAGUCUAAACCAGUGACAACGCUGAGAUGAAGUCACACAUAUUUUAAACCAACUUUGUUGCUUUUUCCUGUCUUUCUUUUGUUUACUUAAAAAAAAAAAAUUACAUUCUAAUUUCUGUAUUGUAUAUUUGUAUGGGUAAAGUAGGGUAAAAUAUGGUGAAGUAACUGAAUGACCACAUAUCAAGUCAGGAUACAGUCCGAUUUUCUAACUGUUUGGAUGAUACAAUCUACAUUCCAAAGUGCAAUCUCAUUGCUGUUUUUUGUUGUUGUUGUAACAAACACCGUUUACUGCAAAUCUUCCCAAUUCAAUCACAAUUAACUUGGACAUAGAGAAUUCAAUGGUAUUCCAUAAAAUGCCAAACGCUGCUUUUAAUAAAGCUUGUCCUAGCGAACAUCAAUGAGACACCCCUUUUGUUGUUGUUGUGCCUAUUGUGUACACGUUGUUAACCUCUAUUACAUUUGAGUAUUUUUUUUUGUUGUUGAAACAAAAUGUAUUUAUUCUUGUUAAUCUUUACCUAAAUCAUUGAAUGUCAUGUAGGCUCCAAAGUGUGCUUUCAUUCAUUAUACUGAUAUAGUUAGGUUAUUAUUAUUUCUGUUUUUCGUGUUUUUAAAAUAGGAGGUUUAUCCAGACAAAAUACUCCGCUUCUGUUUUUACUAUAAUUCCCCCCCAAAAAAUUACAGAGAACUUUUACAUUUAUGUCCAUGUCCUCCGUGGAGCUUUAGCAUUGACUAAAUCCUCUGAAGUUGUAAUGUGGCGCAGAAUUUCUGAGGUGACGGUGACUAUGACCAAAUUGAAAUCUCCAGGAAGAGAAAGCAUAAUUGAUAGCACUGUGUAUAUCAACACAAUGCCUUCAUUGUGUUGAUAUACAGGUAAUAUUCUAACACUUUCUCCAUGAGUUACUUCCAUAGCACAACAUUGGUGUACUUUUACUUAGUGAAUCAUUAUCACACUGCAGUUAGCUUUCAUAUCAAAUUGCAUGUCAAUCAUCUUUGCUUUAUGCAAUUUGGACACUUUCUGUUUAGAAAGCCAUCACCACAGUGGCUCAUAUUAUAGCACAUUUUGAGAAAGAAAAUAACAGUAUUUGAUCAAAGUCCAGAUUGAUUGUACAAAACUACAGGCAGGAAUGUCUCCAAACGCCUAUUCUCUGUAUGGUGGCAGUGUCACUAUACUUUCCGUAUACGUUUUUUCCGUAACCGUCGCUGCUGUUAACUAAGGUGGGUGCAAGUUUUCACAAGACUAGCAUUUUUUUAAUAUACUUUAUUCAAAAGUUUAGAUGUCGGGAUGGGUGGGCAUAUGGGGUUGAUGUAAAGAUUGGAUUGAUUAGAAAACUUUGAUUGUGAUACUGAGAAAAUAUGAAUAUGGUCUAUGUGUUGGUAUGCAAGGUAUUAUUUUGGGAACAACAAUGCAGAUUAUGUAAAAUGCAAAGAAUGGCACUGCUUGAUAUGACAGCUUCAAAUGCAUUCAGUGUAUGUAUUUAUUGUCCAUCUCUCUCACACACACACUGUCCCCCCAAAAGCUUAUUAUUUUGGCAUGUGGCAUGGAUUUACUUACAUUAAGGUCUUGGAGUGGAAAUGUAUUAGGAAUUGCCAGUGAUCCAUUAGAUAACAAAAUGGGAAGGCACAUUGUAUUGCUCUUUUCAAAUAAAUACACUGUACUUAUUAAAUAAAAUACCUGUUUUGGUUUUAAUGGAUUUAGUCAUGCUUUAUUUUCAUGAUUAUAUAUUAGACAGUUUUUUUCUUUAUAUAGGCACAAAUGAGAUAUACAGUAUGCACCAUUCUGAACAAAUCAUAUGGAUGAGUGCAUACAUUUGAAUCCCCAUAGUCCAUUGAAUAAAAAAGUAAUUUCCCUGCAUUCCCUUUCUGUAUUAAUAGUUCUAUACACAUUUCAGUAUACAAUGCAGUACUCAGAUUUCAUGAUUAGAACUGUAUUUGUGUUGAGUUUCAUGUCCAGCUUUGUUUGCUUACCGUUUGUGGCUCCUUUUUGUUCAG